CCAAGCUCUUUGCUGCUGCCGCUGCUGCUAUUGCAGCCGAGGCGGAGAAGCCGCGGCGUCUGGCCUCUUUUCUGCAGCCGGCAGGCGGGAUUCACCACCGCGCCCAGCCCGCCGGCUCCCUGGAACCAGCACUUGGCCCCCUCGCUGAUGUCGGGAAAGGGACAAGCAGAAGUGCCUCGAACUGGUUGCAUUGCGGAGUUGAUUCCGGCCCCAAAGCCUAAAAAGCGAAGUACCGAUAUCGUCCAAAGGUUUAGCAGAGAGAUAAGACACUUCGGCGGAUAAAAUAAGGCUUUGUGGGUAUUGCACUUAAAAACAGAAGCCAUUGCGUGAUCCAAAGCAAACGCCUUGCUUUGAUCACGGCGAAGAAAUUGCAUCAUGCAAAACCCGUGAUUGCACAGUAGGCUUCGAUCACGAUAUUGCGAGAUUUCCAUGAGGACGGCUCUGUGCAUCCAUAUGAUAAAUGGAUGAUAAAUGAGAUAUCACUCCCAUGGGCCAUCUUUGGCUCAGGCAUCCUCCACAGAGGCCUAGCUGGAAGCAGGCUUUCUCGGGGUUGCAGAACAUCAAUUUCAUGUACCUUCAAAAUCUGGGUUUGCAUGACACGGGUCUUCAAACUUGUCCCUUUUAUGAUUUGUGGACUUCAACUCCCAGAAAUCCUAAGCCAGGCCAAUUGGGAGUGGCAAUUCCUCCACUAAGUGAAGCAGUUACUAAAUGGCUUCCGAAGGAACUGAAGCUGAACAUCUCUGAAAAGUGCCAGCUUGGAGAAGUCGAGAACGCAAGAAAUUUUCACCAUCUUUACCUCAGUCAAUUAAAAAUGCCUGAACUGGC